AUAUUCACUCCUCAUAACAGUAGAAUACGCCAUUCCAAGCCAUUUUAUUGCAGUAAUUAUUCUCUAAAUCAUUAGAAAAUAAGGCAAACACCCAGUUGUGCUUGAAAAGAAAAAAAUACUGUCAAAUACCGUGAAACCGAUAUAAUUUAGAAAAAUACCGUGAUAUACAUUUUUGGUCAUACCGCCCAGCACUACGAUCCAAUGUGUGGCUGUGAAAAUGAUCA